AGAAAAUAAAUAAGCAUUAUUGGUUUUUUCUAACAGAAUUAUGCCUCGCAAGUACAAAACAUCUCAUUGUAAGUGCCAAUGGGAUCCUUCCAACAUGGAAAAAGCACAAAAAGCAGCAUGAAGAAAGUAGGCUUGGUAAUUCAUUAAAUCAGACUAUUAGCAUUCAAAGUGCAUCGCCAUGUUCAUCUGUCACAUCAUCAGUGUCAACAUCUACACUUAAUGCUAAUUUUGAUGAACUUUUGCCUUCACCAAAUAAAAUAUCAAAAUCCUUGAAUAAAACCAAGCGAUAAAAGCAGUCUGCUAUGAUUUUGACAACACCACCAUAUAUUGAUUACAUCACAAAAACAAAGUCAUCCAACAGUAACAGCACUUCUGUGCAGAAGAAAAUUAAACAAUCAGGGGAAUUAAAUAAUGAUAAUUAUUGUGGGUUUUGUAAUGGGUACUUUUAUGCCCCAUCAAGCUCCAAAUAUGCCCUAUGGAUCCAGUGCAACAACUGCAAAACAUGGUUUCAUGAGUAUUGUGUUGGGGCAAUGGGAAAAUGUUCCUUUACUUGUGGUAAAUGCUUUAAUAAAACAAUUUAAAUUUGAUUUGUUGCUCAGUAGUUGUUUAGCCUUCCUACACCAUGAACUAUGCAUGUGAAUUUCAAAGCUUUCAUUUCAUUUCACAUGUUGGAGGUGAAAUGAACCAAAGGUGUGGU
rnacentral:lncRNA from 1 species